rnacentral:rRNA from 1 species
UACGAAGGUGGCAAGCGUUGUUCGGAUUUACUGGGCGUACAGGGAGCGUAGGCGGUUGGAUAAGCCCUCCGUGAAAUCUCCAGGCUUAACCUGGAAAGUGCAGAGGGGACUGUUCAGCUAGAGGAUGGGAGAGGAGCGCGGAACUCCCGGUGUAGCGGUGAAAUGCGUAGAGAUCGGGAGGAACACCUGUGGCGAAGGCGGCCGACUGGGCCGACCCUGACGCUGAGGCGCGAAGGCGUGGGGAGCGAACGGG